rnacentral:rRNA from 1 species
CAGUAGCCGCGGGAACACGUAGGGUGCGAGCGUUAAUCGGAAUUACUGGGCGUAAAGCGUGCGCAGGCGGUUUUGUAAGACAGGCGUGAAAUCCCCGGGCUCAACCUGGGAAUGGCGCUUGUGACUGCAAAGCUAGAGUGCGGCAGAGGGGGAUGGAAUUCCGCGUGUAGCAGUGAAAUGCGUAGAUAUGCGGAGGAACACCGAUGGCGAAGGCAAUCCCCUGGGCCUGCACUGACGCUCAUGCACGAAAGCGUGGGGAGCAAACAGGAUUAGAUACCCCGGUAGUCCCUGUCUCUUAUAC